rnacentral:tRNA from 1 species
CUAGAUAGGCGGGCCUCUAUCCCGCGAAGAUUUAGUUAACAGCUAAAUACCCUAGUCACCUGGCUUCAAUCUA